rnacentral:rRNA from 1 species
UACGUAGGGGGCAAGCGUUGUCCGGAAUUACUGGGCGUAAAGCGUGCGCAGGCGGUUUUGUAAGUCUGUCGUGAAAUCCCCGGGCUUAACCUGGGAAUGGCGAUGGAGACUGCAAGGCUAGAGUUUGGCAGAGGGGGGUAGAAUUCCACGUGUAGCAGUGAAAUGCGUAGAGAUGUGGAGGAACACCGAUGGCGAAGGCAGCCCCCUGGGUCAAAACUGACGCUCAUGCACGAAAGCGUGGGGAGCAAACAGG